AGUCGCCGCGGGAACACAGAGGGUGCAAGCGUUAAUCGGAAUUACUGGGCGUAAAGCGCGCGUAGGUGGUUUGUUAAGUUGGAUGUGAAAUCCCCGGGCUCAACCUGGGAACUGCAUCCAAAACUGGCAAGCUAGAGUAUGGUAGAGGGUGGUGGAAUUUCCUGUGUAGCGGUGAAAUGCGUAGAUAUAGGAAGGAACACCAGUGGCGAAGGCGACCACCUGGACUGAUACUGACACUGAGGUGCGAAAGCGUGGGGAGCAAACAGGAUUAGAUACCCCUGUAGUCCCUGUCUCUUAUACA
rnacentral:rRNA from 1 species